rnacentral:rRNA from 1 species
CUACGGGCCGCUGCAGUGAGGAAUAUUGCACAAUGGGGGGAACCCUGAUGCAGCAACGCCGCGUGGAGGAUGACGCAUUUCGGUGUGUAAACUCCUUUUAUAUGUCAAGAAAAUGACGGUAGCAUAUGAAUAAGCACCGGCUAACUCCGUGCCAGCAGCCGCGGUAAUACGGAGGGUGCAAGCGUUACUUGGAAUCACUGGGCGUAAAGGACGCGUAGGCGGGUUGGAAAGUCAGGUGUGAAAUCCUACAGCUUAACUGUAGAACUGCACUUGAAACUUCUAAUCUAGAGUAUGGGAGGGGGAGAUGGAAUUAGUGGUGCAGGGGUAAAAUCCGUAGAUAUCACUAGGAAUACCUAAAGCGAAGGCGAUCUCCUGGAACAUUACUGACGCUAAGGCGUGAAAGCGUGGGGAGCAAACAGGAUUAGAUACCCCCGUAGUC